rnacentral:lncRNA from 1 species
GCUCCGUUUAAAUUUCAGCUCCUUUUUAAUUGAAUGAGAAAAUCGUGUAAAAUCAAGCUCCGUUUAAAUUUCAGAGAUUGAAUGCUUCAUUGAACACACUAUAACAUUUGGGCACACUCUAUUCAUUUAAAUUAUUAUUUCUAAAUAUAACUUUAUAACACAUAUUUUUAACACAUCACACAUAUAUAUCGAUCAUAAAUUUAAC